GUGGGGAAUAUUGCACAAUGGGCGAAAGCCUGAUGCAGCAACGCCGCGUGAGGGACGACGGCCUUCGGGUUGUAAACCUCUUUUAGUAGGGAAGAAGCGAAAGUGACGGUACCUGCAGAAAAAGCACCGGCUAACUACGUGCCAGCAGCCGCGGUAAUACGUAGGGUGAAAGCGUUAUCCGGAAUUAUUGGGCGUAAAGAGCUCGUAGGCGGUCUGUCGCGUCUGCUGUGAAAACUGGAGGCUCAACCUCCAGCCGGCAGUGGGUACGGGCAGACUAGAGUGCGGUAGGGGAGAUUGGAAUUCCUGGUGUAGCGGUGGAAUGCGGAGAUAUCAGGAGGAACACCGAUGGCGAAGGCAGAUCUCUGGGCCGUAACUGACGCUGAGGAGCGAAAGCGUGGGGAGCGAACAGGAUUAGAAACCCUUGUAGUCC
rnacentral:rRNA from 1 species